rnacentral:rRNA from 1 species
AGUGAACGCUGGCGGUAGGCCUAACACAUGCAAGUCGAACGGCAGCACAGUAAGAGCUUGCUCUUACGGGUUGCGAGUGGCGGACGGGUGAGGAAUACAUCGUAAUCUACUUUUUCGUGGGGGAUAACGUAGGGAAACUUACGCUAAUACCGCAUACGACCUACGGGUGAAAGCAGGGGAUCUUCGGACCUUGCGCGAUUGAAUGAGCCGAUGUCGGAUUAGCUAGUUGGCGGGUUAAAGGCCCACCAAGGCGACGAUCCGUAGCUGGACUGAGAGGAUGGUCAGCCACACUGGAACUGAGACACGGUCCCGACUCCUACGGGAGGCAGCAGUGGGGAAUAUUGGACAAUGGGCGCAAGCAUGAUCCAGCCAUACCGCGUGGGUGAAGACGGCCUUCGGGUUGUAAAGCCCUUUUGUUGGGAAAGAAAAGCAGCAGGUUAAUACCCCGCUGUUCGGACGGUACCCAAAGAAUAAGCACCGGCUAACUUCGU